UUCUCUGAAACUGACAUUAUCAAGAUGCUUGAUUUCUUGAUUGACAACAUAUUUGUUACGUUUGGAGGACGUGUUUUUCAACAGACUAUCGGCAUUCCAAUGGGAACGAAUUGUGCACCUCUUCUCGCCGACUUGUUUCUUUAUUAUUAUGAGGCUGAAUUCAUACAGGAACUUCUUAGGAAGAAAGAUAAGAAGUUAGCAAUAUCCUUUAACUCUACUUUCCGCUAUAUAGAUGAUGUUCUUUCACUAAAUAAUUCAAAAUUUGGUGACUAUGUCGAAUGCAUCUAUCAAAUUGAACUAGAGAUAAAGGAUACAACAGAUACAGUUAAGUCGGCCUCAUAUCUUGACUUACAUCUAGAA
rnacentral:lncRNA from 1 species